GCAACCCAGCACUGGAGCCUAGAGGCUCUUUGGUGGGGCUAAUGGUAGACUCUGGGAGGGCUCAGGCCAAGGAGUACUUCCCAGAACUUCUGCUUCCCGUGUCCUUGUCCCUGUGGUGAGCCACAGCCACCCCCCGCCUCUGCAGGAGACCCUCCAACACUAGCAGCUGGCCCAACGUGACAUCUUCAGGGCCGGGGGACCCAGGCACACGCCUCCAGCAGCAUUGCGAUGGGGAGAUGGGUGGGCUUUAUCUGCCCCGGGGCCAGCAUCGCACCCAAUGCCAUCACAGGACCUGUAACUUGCUGUAAACAACAUCCCUGGCCAAAAAAAAAAAAAAAACCAACCCAGAAAACAAAACCAAAAACACCCCAUCUGGGCUGGAAACACCAGUAUAUUUCAUCAGAUGCCUGAUCUGGGAAGAGAGAGGGGAGUGAGAGGAAGAAGCUGCAAGGUCAGGAGAAGCCAUCUUUGCAUCCUGAGAUUCCUCUCCAUCAUCGUCACGGGGACCAGCUCAUAUCCCCGCCUCGCAGUCACAGGGCAUAAUCCAGUUACCCCAUUCCCCCACACGUUCUCUGUCUUUGGGAAGAAGGACCCUGAACCCCAAAGCUUAGUGUUCCCAAAAGAAAAAAAAAGGAGGACAAGUACAACCCACAGAUCUUUGACAUCUCGUGAAAUUUUGUUUCUUCCAUCUGAUCAGGGGAAAGCAUGAGAGAACCAAUCUGGUU